UACGUAGGGUGCAAGCGUUGUCCGGAAUUAUUGGGCGUAAAGAGCUCGUAGGCGGUUUGUCGCGUCUGUCGUGAAAGCUUGGGGCUUAACCCCAAGUCUGCGGUGGAUACGGGCAGACUAGAGGCAGGUAGGGGAGAACGGAAUUCCCGGUGUAGCGGUGAAAUGCGCAGAUAUCGGGAGGAACACCAAUGGCGAAGGCAGCUCGCUGGGACGGUACUGACGCUGAGACGCGAAAGCGUGGGGAGCAAACAGG
rnacentral:rRNA from 1 species